GCGGUUAUAUCUCAAUGGUAGAGAAUCGCAUUGCCAGUGCGAGAAUGAGAGUUCGAUUCUCUCUAGCCGCUCCA
rnacentral:tRNA from 1 species